GACGAACGCUGGCGGCGUGCUUAACACAUGCAAGUCGAACGAUGAAGCUAGAGCUUGCUCUGGUGAAUUAGUGGCGAACGGGUGAGUAACACGUGAGUAACCUGCCCCGAACUCUGGGGUAACUGCUGGAAACGGUAGCCAAUACUGGAUACGACCUCCGAAGGCAUCUUCUGUAGGUGGAAAGAAUUUCGGCUCGGGAUGGACUCGCGGACUAUAAGCUUGGUGGUGAGGUAAUGGCUCACCAAGGCGACGACGGGUAGCCGGCCUGAGAGGGUGACCGGCCACACUUGGACUGGGCCACGGCCCAGAGUCCUACGGGGGGCAGCGGUGCGGAAUAUUGCACAAGGGGCGCACGGCUGAUGCAGCAACGCCGCGUGAGGGAUGACGGCCUUCGGGUUGUAAACCUCUUUUAGUAGGGAAGAAGCGAAAGUGACGGUACCUGCAGAAAAAGCACCGGCUAUCUACGUGCCAGCAGCCGCCGUAA
rnacentral:rRNA from 1 species